rnacentral:rRNA from 1 species
UGAGGAAUAUUGGACAAUGGAUGGAAAUCUGAUCCAGCCAUGCCGCGUGCAGGAAGACGGCCCUAUGGGUUGUAAACUGCUUUUGUAUGGGAGCAAUAAGGGCUACGAGUAGCCUGAUGAGAGUACCAUACGAAUAAGGACCGGCUAACUCCGUGCCAGCAGCCGCGGUAAUACGGAGGGUCCGAGCGUUAUCCGGAUUUAUUGGGUUUAAAGGGUGCGUAGGCGGUUUUAUAAGUCAGCGGUGAAAUUUUCCGGCUCAACCGGGAUACUGCCGUUGAUACUGUAAGGCUAGGAUAUGGUUGCUGUGGGUGGAAUGUGUGGUGUAGCGGUGAAAUGCUUAGAGAUCACACAGAAUAUCGAUUGCGAAGGCAGCUCACAAAGCCAUUAUUGACGCUGAGGC